rnacentral:rRNA from 1 species
UACGAAGGGGGCUAGCGUUGCUCGGAAUCACUGGGCGUAAAGGGUGCGUAGGCGGGUCUUUAAGUCAGGGGUGAAAUCCUGGAGCUCAACUCCAGAACUGCCUUUGAUACUGAGGAUCUUGAGUUCGGGAGAGGUGAGUGGAACUGCGAGUGUAGAGGUGAAAUUCGUAGAUAUUCGCAAGAACACCAGUGGCGAAGGCGACUCACUGGACACGUAUUGACGCUGAGGUGCGAAAGCGUGGGGAGCAAACAGG